rnacentral:rRNA from 1 species
CUGGCGGCGUGCCUAACACAUGCAAGUCGAGCGAGGAGAUCCUUCGGGAUGAUCCUAGCGGCGGACGGGUGAGUAACACGUGGGCAACCUGCCUCAUAGAGAGGAAUAGCCUUCCGAAAGGGAGAUUAAUACCUCAUAACAUUGCAGUUUCGCAUGGAACAGCAAUUAAAGGAGUAAUCCGCUAUGAGAUGGGCCCCGCGGCGCAUUAGCUAGUUGGUGAGGUAACGGCUCACCAAGGCGACGAUGCGUAGCCGACCUGAGAGGGUGAUCGGCCACAUUGGGACUGAGACACGGCCCAGACUCCUACGGGAGGCAGCAGUGGGGAAUAUUGCACAAUGGGGGAAACCCUGAUGCAGCCAACGCCGCGUGAGUGAUGACGGCCUUCGGGUUGUAAAGCUCUGUCUUCAGGGACGAUAAUGACGGUACCUGAGGAGGAAGCCACGGCUAACUACGUGCCAGCAGCUGC